AGCGAACGUUAGUGGCGCGCCUAACACAUGCAAGUCGCACGAGAAAGGGAGCAAUCCCCGGUACAGUGGCGCACGGGUGAGUAACACGUAGAUGACCUUCCCUGGAGUGGUGGAUAACCUGCCGAAAGGCGGGCUAAUACAACAUGGGACCACAUGGUUUUGACCGAGUGGUGAAAGCGGGCCUCUGUUCACAAGCUCGCGCUCUGGGAUGGGUCUGCGUCCCAUCAGCUAGUUGGUGAGGUAAUGGCUCACCAAGGCAUCGACGGGUAGCUGGUCUGAGAGGAUGACCAGCCACACUGGAACUGAGACACGGUCCAGACUCCUACGGGAGGCAGCAGUGGGGAAUCUUGCGCAAUGGGCGAAAGCCUGACGCAGCGACGCCGCGUGGGUGAUGAAGGCCCUCGGGUCGUAAAGCUCUGUGGGGAGGAAAGAAUAAGGGUAGGUUAAUAUCCUGCCUGAUGACGGUACCUCCUUAGCAAGC
rnacentral:rRNA from 1 species